GAUGAACGCUAGCUACAGGCUUAACACAUGCAAGUCGAGGGGCAGCAUUGGGAUAGCUUGCUAUUCCAGAUGGCGACCGGCGCACGGGUGCGUAACACGUAUCCAAUCUACCCAUGGCUCUGGGAUAGCCUUUCGAAAGAAAGAUUAAUACCAGAUGGUCUUAUCUGGAGACAUCUCCUAGUAAGUAAAGAUUUAUCGGCGAUGGAUGAGGAUGCGUCUGAUUAGGUAGUAGGCGGGGUAACGGCCCACCUAGCCGACGAUCAGUAGGGGUUCUGAGAGGAAGGUCCCCCACAUUGGAACUGAGACACGGUCCANACUCCUACGGGAGGCAGCAGUGAGGAAUAUUGGGUCAUGGGCGAGAGCCUGAACCAGCCCAGUAGCGUGAAGGAUGACUGCCCUAUGGGUUGUAAACUUCUUUGUUUGGGAAUAAAGUGCCCCACGUGUGGGGUUUUGUAUGUACCAUACGAAUAAGCAUCGGCUAAUUCCGUGCCAGCAGCCGCGGUAAUACGGAAGAUGCGAGCGUUAUCCGGAUUUAUUGGGUUUAAAGGGAGCGUAGGCGGGCCUUUAAGCCAGCGGUCAAAUGUCAUGGCCCAACCUUGGCAUGCCGUUGGAACUGGGGGUCUUGAAUACACACAAGGAUGGUGGAAUUCGUCGUGUAGCGGUGAAAUGCUUAGAUAUGACGAAGAACUCCGAUUGCGAAGGCAGCCAUCUGGGGUGCGAUUGACGCUGAGGCUCGAAAGUGCGGGUAUCAAACA
rnacentral:rRNA from 1 species